rnacentral:rRNA from 1 species
UACGGAGGGUGCAAGCGUUAUCCGGAAUUAUUGGGCGUAAAGCGUCUUAAGGUGGCUUUGUGAAGUCUACUGUUAAAGAUCAAGGCUUAACCUUGAGCAGGCAGUAGAAACUCAUAAGCUUGAGUACGGUAGGGGCAGAGGGAAUUCCCGGUGUAGCGGUGAAAUGCGUAGAUAUCAGGAGGAACACCGGUGGCGAAGGCGGGUCUCUGGGCCGAUACUGACGCUGAGGAGCGAAAGCGUGGGGAGCGAACAGG